CCUACGGGCGGCAGCAGUGAGGAAUAUUGGUCAAUGGACGCGAGUCUGAACCAGCCAAGUCGCGUGCAGGAAGACGGUCCUAUGGGUUGUAAACCUCUUUUGUCGGGGGGCAAAAGACGCCACGCGUGUCGUUCCGAGAGUACCCUACGAAUAAGCAUCGGCUAACUCCGUGCCAGCAGCCGCGGUAAUACGGAGGAUUCAAGCGUUAUCCGGAUUUAUUGGGUUUAAAGGGUGCGAGGGCGGCCGAUCAAGUCAGCGGUAAAAUCGCGGGGCUCAACCUCGCUCUGCCGUUGAAACUGGCCGGCUGGAGUGGGGGAGAGGUAGGCGGAAUGCGUGGUGUAGCGGUGAAAUGCAUAGAGAUCACGCAGAACUCCGAUUGCGAAGGCAGCAUACCGGGGUACAACUGACGCUGAAGCACGAAAGCGUGGGUAGCGAACAGGAUUAGAUACCCGGGUAGUC
rnacentral:rRNA from 1 species